rnacentral:misc_RNA from 1 species
ACCCGAUGUCAACGCGGCUGCGUUAGCUUUUGUGAAGGAGUGUGUAGCAUACGGCGAUGAAAAGGCUCAAUUUUCACCAUUACAGCCAUAUUCAUUCACCAUGACAUGUUAUGAGGAGGAAGAAGAGGUAAGUAUAAACAAGUGUGUGAAAAUCUAAGAGCCUUUUUUAAUGUAUAUACUGAGUUACUUGUGAUUUUGUUUAACUAACAGUUUGAACUUGGAAGCUGUCAUGGCGGGGCGGUGAGCAGGAUUAGUCCCUUGGGUUUAUUUUUUCCAUUUUUUUCGUAAACUAUGUAUUGUUUCAGCCUGCCGUGUUAUAAAAAAGUAAGGGAAGGUAAGGCAGAGAAAGUGUAUGUGAAAUUAUGCAUCUUUAUUAAGUGUUUAUGGGGCUAUUUGUAAGUUUGUCGUGAAACGUGACAGGACAGACUGCUUUACUUGAUGGGAUGAGUCACCAAGGUGUUCCGGAGUCUUCUAAUUUUCUUUUCUUAAGAUAUUUGACGGUUUUUUUUUUUCACCUAUUCUGGUUAUUUAAUGAGUUUUGCGAGUGCGUUGGUUAGUGUUAUGAGUCUGUAGUUAUGUUAGAUUUUCUGGAUUAUCUACGUAUUCCGGGCCGUCACCGGAAUACGCCUGUGGCGUGUUGUGCGCUGUGCAGGGCAAGAGGAGAAAUACCUGUAGCUGUCCCAGAAGAAUGUGGUGGUGCUGCUGGAGACCUUCUAUGUGAGUGUGGCCAAAGGGGAUGGGCGGCAUGAAUACUUGGAUACCAGUGGACACAGCCUCCUCUACCUGCACUUAGCUCAGCACAUGUGUGACAAGGCCUACCUCAAUGUGGAAGGGCACUGCUGCUCGUCGAAGGACUUUUGGGACUGCCAGCAGAUGCAACACUGUAGACCAGGAUCACUCCAAGGGACACUGCUGGAGAAAACAUCUCAGGACAUGAGCAAUGCUAAAGAGUUGAGUAAGGAUGAGAGAAAGAAGAAAGCCUUGAGCAGCGAGGCUGCAGGAAGUGGGGAAGCUUGCCUGGCUGGUGUCUUCUUCCUGGCGUGCUUCUGUCGUCUCCCGUUGCUGGUCCAUUGGCUGCAGCGACCUUGCCUUCACCCACAUCGACCCAUCCUGGCAGUCCCUACGUUGUUCAGAGAUGAUGGUAGCUUUAAGCAUGUCGUGGCCCUUAUGUUUGCCAUCGAAGACUUUGUGUCACGCUUCGGCACCAACCUGCACUGAUCUGCCCUGUACAUGGAACAAGCCUUGUCGCAACACUAAGCAAGUAAAGGCAGUCGAUCUAGAUCCCAGGAUGGACACCUCAACUGAAUGGUCACUUAUCCCUCGGUCAGAACAUUACAGGGCCUGUACCUUUUCGCCCAGCUUCAAUUCAGGGGAAGCUUUUGUCAUUUAUGGCUCAACAUUCAUCACCAACUUGUUAUGGACAAGUGCUUUUCCCUAACAGAUUGAGCAGACAGCCACCCACCAUCACUAAGCUUGCAGAGGCAUUCAGCAACUACAACUCUUCAUUAUCAUUUGUUGAUUUUGUUAAAGAGCAUUUAGAUGUUGGAGAUAUUGAAUUUAUACAGUCAAAUACACAUGCCCAGUACAAAUCACUUAUGUGGAAAAAUCCGAGAGUUGGAACUUUGACUUCAACAACUUUGCACAAGGCAGUCCACUACAAGGGCAGUGACAGUAAAAACUAUAUUGUGGACGAAAUAAUGGGACUCUCAGGUUUUAAAGGAAAUUUGAGUACUAAAUAUGGUAAGGAAACGGAGCCCAUAGCAAAGAAGCCAUACAUCAAAGAAAUGAGAAAAAGAAACUACAAACAAUUCAAAUUUCAAGGGUGUGGACUUUUUAUAAAUAAAGACAAUCCACUUCGUAGAGCAACUCCUGAUGGCAUUGUCAGUUGCAAAUGCUGUGGCAAAGGUUUACUAGAAGUGAAAUGCCCCUUUAGUAAUAAAUACAGAUUUUUAAGUGGCAGGGAAAUAGCCACUUCUAACACUUACCAUGUCACCAUUGGGGAAAAUAAUGAAGUUACUCUGAAACAGUCCUCUCCUUGGUACACACAAAUUUCAAACCCAUUUAGGUGUUUCUGGGUUUGAUUGGUGUGAUUUUGUAAUGUUUACACAAAAAAGUCCUCGUUUAACAGUGCAAAGGAUAUAUUUUGACAAAACUUUUUUUGAUAGCAAUACAAAAUAUGCGAUGAAUUUCUAUAACAGAUUUGUCCUGCCAAAUCUCCGUAAGUCCAGAGUAACUGAAGAGGCACAUAGUACUUAACCCCUAAAGGGCCGGCCUGGGUGGUCAUCUACAACAUCCACAGGACCGGCACCUCAGCACCAAACACCGAAAAUAGCCUAUAUUCACACACUUGAUUCUGCUGAACUACAAUGCAAUAACAAAUUACUUUGUCGUCAUAGUCAUCAUCAACUCUUCUUCUUUUUAA